UCCGGUGACGAUGGCGGUGAGGAUCCACCUGUUCCCAUACCGAACACAGAAGUUAAGCUCACUUGCGCCAGAAGUAGUUGGGUUUUUUCUCGCACGGCGCAAGGGCAACGCCGUAC
rnacentral:rRNA from 1 species